rnacentral:rRNA from 1 species
UACGAAGGGGGCUAGCGUUGCUCGGAAUCACUGGGCGUAAAGCGCACGUAGGCGGCUUCUUAAGUCAGGGGUGAAAUCCUGGAGCUCAACUCCAGAACUGCCUUUGAUACUGAGGAUCUUGAGUUCGGGAGAGGUGAGUGGAACUGCGAAGUGUAGAGGUGAAAUUCGUAGAUAUUCGCAAGAACACCAGUGGCGAAGGCGGCUCACUGGCCCGAUACUGACGCUGAGGCACGAAAGCGUGGGGAGCAAACAGGGA